rnacentral:rRNA from 1 species
ACGGGUGAGUAACACGUAUCCAACCUGCCGUCUACUCUUGACAGCCUUCUGAAAGGAAGAUUAAUACAAGAUGGCAUCAUGAGUCCGCAUGUUCACAUGAUUAAAGGUAUCCCGGUAGACGAUGGGGAUGCGUUCCAUUAGAUAGUAGGCGGGGUAACGGCCCACCUAGUCUUCGAUGGAUAGGGGUUCUGAGAGGAAGGUCCCCCACAUUGGAACUGAGACACGGUCCAA